AUGCUGCGUCUCCACCACAAGGCAGCAACAGAGGAGGGCCUUAUCCGCCACCACACAACGGCAGCCAUGAUAAAAGUAGUAGAAGGGGAUGAGGAAGGAGGAGAAAGACCAGAAGAAGGGCAAGGGAGGUGGGGCGAUCUGCAUGUCCAUGGAGCAGUAGGAAAACGACGAGAGGACGAGUACCUCGAUGGCGACGACAACCAGGAGGAUGAACCCACCCACAUGGGCGCCGAUGCUGGCCAUCAAAACGACGACUCUUUGUCCUGCACCACCUCAUGCUACGGCGACUACAUGUUUGGUUUACUUCACGGAAUGGCACAAUGCUACUAUUUAGAUGUUAGAUGUUAG
rnacentral:rRNA from 1 species